GUGCAAGUAUGUGAGGAGAGUGUCUUGAGGAGAUGUGAUGUCAUAAAAAUCAUGCUCAAUAGGAUUAUGCUAAGGCCC
ensembl:snoRNA SNORD115 Small nucleolar RNA SNORD115